rnacentral:rRNA from 1 species
ACGAACGCUGGCGGCGUGCCUAAUACAUGCAAGUCGAGCGGACCGACGGGAGCUUGCUCCCUUAGGUCAGCGGCGGACGGGUGAGUAACACGUGGGUAACCUGCCUGUAAGACUGGGAUAACUCCGGGAAACCGGGGCUAAUACCGGAUGCUUGAUUGAGCCGCAUGGUUCAAUUAUAAAAGGUGGCUUUCAGCUACCACUUACAGAUGGACCCGCGGCGCAUUAGCUAGUUGGUGAGGUAACGGUUCACCAAGGCGACGAUGCGUAGCCGACCUGAGAGGGUGAUCGGCCACACUGGGACUGAGACACGGCCCAGACUCCUACGGGAGGCAGCAGUAGGGAAUCUUCCGCAAUGGACGAAAGUCUGACGGAGCAACGCCGCGUGAGUGAUGAAGGUUUUCGGAUCGUAAAACUCUGUUGUUAGGGAAGAACAAGUACCGUUCGAAUAGGGCGGCACCUUGACGGUACCUAACCAGAAAGCCACGGCUAACUACGUGCCAGCAGCCGCGGUAAUACGUAGGUGGCAAGCGUUGUCCGGAAUUAUUGGGCGUAAAGCGCGCGCAGGCGGUUUCUUAAGUCUGAUGUGAAAGCCCCCGGCUCAACCGGGGAGGGUCAUUGGAAACUGGGGAACUUGAGUGCAGAAGAGGAGAGUGGAAUUCCACGUGUAGCGGUGAAAUGCGUAGAGAUGUGGAGGAACACCAGUGGCGAAGGCGACUCUCUGGUCUGUAACUGACGCCGAGGCGCGAAAGCGUGGGGAGCGAACA